UACGUAGGUGACCAGCGUUGUCCGGAUUUACUGGGCGUAAAGAGCGCGCAGGCGGUCGUUCAAGUCGAGUGUGAAAGCCCCCGGCUCAACUGGGGAGGGUCACUCGAUACUGAUCGACUUGAAGGCAGGAGAGGGAAGCGGAAUUCCCGGUGUAGUGGUGAAAUGCGUAGAGAUCGGGAGGAACACCUGUGGCGAAGGCGGCUCACUGGCCCGGUACUGACGCUGAGGUGCGAAAGCGUGGGGAGCAAACAGG
rnacentral:rRNA from 1 species